rnacentral:rRNA from 1 species
CCAAGGAGUCUAACAUGUGCGCGAGUCAUUGAGUCAAUUAAAGCUUAAAGGCGUAAUGAAAGUAAAGGUCGUCCUUAGCGUCGACCAAGGGAGGAUGGCUGACGUUACGAUGUUAGCUCGCACUCCCGGGGCAUCUCGUGUUCAUUGCGAACAGAGGUGCACCCAGAGCGCACACGUUGGGACCCGAAAGAUGGUGAACUAUGCCUGGUCAGGACGAAGUCAGGGGAAACCCUGAUGGAGGUCCGUAGCGAUUCUGACGUGCAAAUCGAUCGUCGGAACUGGGUAUAGGGGCGAAAGACUAAUCGAACCAUC